GCUGAACGCUAGCGGCAGGCCUAAUACAUGCAAGUCGAACGGGAAUAAGAGGCUUGCUUCUUUUGAGAGAGGCGCACGGGUGCGUAACACGUAUGCAACCUACCUUUAACUGGGGGAUAGCCUUCCGAAAGGAAGAUUAAUACCGCAUAAUAUAAUGGAGUGGCAUCACUAUAUUAUCAACAUAUUUGGGUUAAAGAUGGGCAUGCGUCCGAUUAGCUAGUUGGUACGGUAACGGCGUACCAAGGCAACGAUCGGUAGGGGUCCUGAGAGGGAGAUCCCCCACACUGGUACUGAGACACGGACCAGACUCCUACGGGAGGCAGCAGUGAGGAAUAUUGGACAAUGGACGCAAGCCUGAUCCAGCCAUGCCGCGUGCAGGAAGACGGUCCUAUGGAUUGUAAACUGCUUUUGUACGGGAAGAAACACUCCUACGUGCAGGAGCUUGACGGUACCGCAAGAAUAAGGAUCGGCUAACUCCGUGCCAGCAGCCGCCGUAAUAC
rnacentral:rRNA from 1 species